rnacentral:rRNA from 1 species
CAGCCGCCGCGGGAAAACGAAGGGUGCAAGCGUUAAUCGGAAUUACUGGGCGUAAAGCGCGCGUAGGUGGUUCAUUAAGUUGGAUGUGAAAGCCCUGGGCUCAACCUGGGAACUGCAUCCAAAACUGGUGAGCUAGAGUACGGUAGAGGGUAGUGGAAUUUCCUGUGUAGCGGUGAAAUGCGUAGAUAUAGGAAGGAACACCAGUGGCGAAGGCGACUACCUGGACUGAUACUGACACUGAGGUGCGAAAGCGUGGGGAGCAAACAGGAUUAGAUACCCCCGUAGUCCCUGUCUCUUAUAC